GAGGUUAUAGCUCAAGUGGUAGAGCACAUGUUUAGCAUGCACGAGGUCCUGGGUUCAAUCCUCAGUACCUCCU
rnacentral:tRNA from 1 species